rnacentral:rRNA from 1 species
UCAAGCUAAUAAGAGCGCAAGGGGAAUGCCUUGGCAUCAGGAGCCGACGAAGGACGUGACAAGCUGCGAUAAGCUACGGUGAGGAGCAAAUAUCCUGUGACCCGUAGAUUUCCGAAUGGGGCAACCCGGCUGGACAAUAUCCAGUCAUCCUGCAUUGAAUCAAAUAGGUGUAGGAAGGGAACCGCCUGAACUGAAACAUCUAAGUAGGGCGAGGAAAAGACAUCAACCGAGAUUCCGCAAGUAGUGGCGAGCGAACGCGGAAGAGGCCAAACCGGAGGAUUUAUUCUCCGGGGUUGCGGACAGCUAUACGGAACAAUAGUUUAGCCGAACGGUCUGGGAAGGCCGGUCACAGAGGGUGAGAACCCCGUAGGCGAAAGACGAAUUGUUUCAGGCUGGAUCCAGAGUACCGCAGGACACGUGAAACCCUGUGGGAAACAGGGGGGACCACCCUCCAAGCCUAAAUACUACCUGAUGACCGAUAGAGGAGCAGUACCGUGAGGGAAAGGUGAAAAGGACCCCGGGAGGGGAGUGAAAGAGAACCUGAAACCUUGUGCUUACAAGCAGUCAGAGCACGUUAAAGUGUGAUGGCGUACUUUUUGUAGAACGGUCCGGCGAGUUAUAGUAACGAGCAAGCUUAAGGUAUUCAGUACCGGAGGCGAAGCGAAAGCGAGUCUGAAUAGGGCGCAUGAAGUUCGUUGCCAUAGACCCGAAACCGGGUGACCUACGCAUGAGCAGGUUGAAGUGGGGGUGAAACCCCAUGGAGGACCGAACCAACCCCCGUUGCAAUGGUGGUGGAUGACUUGUGCGUAGCGGUGAAAUUCCAAUCGAACUCGGAGAUAGCUGGUUCUCCCCGAAAUAGCUUUAGGGCUAGCGUUAGUUUAGAUUACCGGAGGUAAAGCACUGAAUGGUUUAGGGGCUGAUAAAGUUACCGACGCCUAUCAAACUCUGAAUGCCGGAUAAUUGAUGACUAGCAGUCAGACAGUGUGAGAUAAGUUUCAUUGUCAAAAGGGAAACAGCCCAGACCUACAGCUAAGGUCCCAAAUGUAUGCUAAGUGGAAAACGAUGUGGAAUUGCGAAAACAACCAGGAUGUUGGCUUAGAAGCAGCCACACAUUAAAAGAGUGCGUAAUAGCUCACUGGUCGAGUGACUCUGCGCGGAAAAUGUAACGGGGCUAAGCAUGCAACCGAAGCUUAGGAUUGUCUAAAGACAGUGGUAGGGGAGCGUUCUGUAUGGGGUGAAGUCGCAGCGAGAGCAGCGGUGGACUGUACAGAAGUGAGAAUGCCGGAAUGAGUAGCGAGAAUUAUGUGGGAAUCAUAAUGGCCGAAAAUCUAAGGUUUCUUGGGGAAGGUUCGUCCGCCCAAGGUAAGUCGGGAGCUAAGCUCAGGCCGCGAGGCGUAGGCGAUGCACAUACGGUAGAAAUUCCGUAACCACCGAACUUUAAGCAUGAGGGACACUUUGAGAUAGCGGAACCCGGGCGUUGGUUGACCCGGGCGAAAGGGACCGAAAUAUAGUAGGGAAGUCCGCGAUGCUUGGAGGCGAGAAAAGCUCAUGUGUAUACUAAGGUGCCCGUACCGCAAACCGACACAGGUAGAUGAGGAGAGAAUCCUAAGGCCAACGGGAGAAGGGUUGUUAAGGAACUCGGCAAGAUGACCCCGUAACUUCGGAAGAAGGGGAGCCUCGAAAGAGGCCGCAGUGAAUAGGCCCAAGCAACUGUUUACCAAAAACACAGGUUUAUGCUAAAUCGAAAGAUGACGUAUAUGAGCUGACGCCUGCCCGGUGCCGGAAGGUUAAGAGGAGAUGUCAACCGCAAGGUGAAGCAUUGAAUUGAAGCCCCGGUAAACGGCGGCCGUAACUAUAACGGUCCUAAGGUAGCGAAAUUCCUUGUCAGGUAAG